CCUGGAGCACAAAGUCAAUCGCUCAAUAUCCAUCUCCAAAAGCUUACGUGAAGGAAUGGCCAAAGAGACCCACCUUCGCUCCGUUUGCGAAAAACCAAGAGUAAAAACGUUAGAAGACGAAGCAAAAGAGACACAGGGAAUGAAGAGCAUGAACACGACUUGAGACGAGUAAGAAGUUUUUUAUUUGUUUCUGGAUUGAGAGAUUUUACCCGAGCGUAGAUACUUUGCGGGUCCGUGGCAGAUCCACGCUUUGCGCGUGGCUUUCCGUCGGUGUUUAGAGCUGGUCCAAGCGCUGAGAUUCCAAGCCCCUCGAUUCCUGCAGCGAGAGAUUGAGACGAUGAUGAAGAAACUCGCGAAAGAAUGACAAGAUGAAUGUGAAGAAACUCUCUAAAGAAAGAACCAUCUAAGAGUUCUAUGCCAA